ACAUUUCUUUUAGAUUUUUUUAAAGGUAAAGUCUGCCCACUGUAAAUUAAUAAAGGGCCGCGGUAUUUUGACCGUGCAAAGGUAGCAUAAUCAUUAGUCUCUUGAUUGGGGAAUGGAAUGAAUGGCUUAAUGAUUUUUUUCUUUUAUUUAUAUUAUAUUAUAAUUUUGAUUUUAAGUGAAAAUACUUAAAUUUUCUAAUAAGACGAUAAGACCCUAUAGAAUUUUAUUUCUAUUUUUAUUUAUAUAUUUAUUGAAGUUUAAAUGGGGCAUUUUUUGAAUAAGAAUAAUUUCUAUUAAGUUUUUAUAAAAUAUCUUUAUUUUUAGAUUAUGAAAAAAUUACCUUAGGGAUAACAGCGUAAUGAUUUUUAAGAGUUCAUAUCGACAAAAUAGUAGCGACCAAAGAUAUGAAAUAAAAUUUCGAC
rnacentral:rRNA from 1 species